rnacentral:rRNA from 1 species
UACGUAGGGUGCGAGCGUUGUCCGGAAUUAUUGGGCGUAAAGAGCUCGUAGGCGGUUUGUUGCGUCUAUCGUGAAAACCUGCAGCUUAACUGUGGGCUUGCAGUGGGUACGGGCAGACUAGAGUGUGGUAGGGGAGACUGGAAUUCCUGGUGUAGCGGUGAAAUGCGCAGAUAUCAGGAGGAACACCGAUGGCGAAGGCAGGUCUCUGGGCCAUAACUGACGCUGAGAAGCGAAAGCAUGGGGAGCGAACAGG